rnacentral:rRNA from 1 species
CCCUUAGAUGUUCUGGGCCGCACGCGUGCUACACUGAGUGGAUCAGCGGGUCAGGUUGCGCGAAAGUGUUUCCUAAUCUUGAAAUCCGCUCGUGAUGGGGAUUGACGGUUGCAAUUUUCCGCCAUGAACGAGGAAUACCUUGUAAGCGCGGGUCAUCAUCCCGCGCUGAAUACGUCCCUGCCCUUUGUACACACCGCCCGUCGCUCCUACCGAUUGAGUGGUCCGGUGAGGCUUUGGGAUCUGAGCGGAAAGAGCGUUUCGCUGUUUCUGCUCGGAAAACUCAGUCGAACCUUAUCAUUUAGAGGAAGGAGAAGUCGUAACA